rnacentral:rRNA from 1 species
GUGCAAAGGUAGCGUAAUCACUUGUCUUUUAAAUGAAGACCCGUAUGAAUGGCAUCACGAGGGCUUAGCUGUCUCCCUUUUCCAGUCAAUGAAAUUGACCUCCCCGUGCAGAGGCGGGGAUAAGCACAUAAGACGAGAAGACCCUGUGGAGCUUUAGACCUAAAAUAAACCACGUUUAACAGCCUAUAAAAUUAGCAAUAACUUAGUGGUUUUUAUUGAAGUGUCUUUGGUUGGGGCGACCGCGGGGUAAAAUAUAACCCCCAUGUGGACCGGGGAUACUAUCCCUACUACUAAGGGCCUCCCCCCCAAGUAACAGAACUUCUGACCUUAUGAUCCGGCAUAGCCGAUUAACGAACCGAGUUACCCCAGGGAUAACAGCGCAAUCCCCUCUAAGAGCCCAUAUCGACGAGGGGGUUUACGACCUCGA